UACGUAGGGUGCGAGCGUUGUCCGGAAUUAUUGGGCGUAAAGAGCUUGUAGGCGGUUUGUCGCGUCUGCUGUGAAAAUCCGGGGCUCAACCCCGGACUUGCAGUGGGUACGGGCAGACUAGAGUGUGGUAGGGGAGACUGGAAUUCCUGGUGUAGCGGUGAAAUGCGUAGAGAUCCGGAAGAACACCGGUGGCGAGGGCGGCCCGCUGGGCAACUGCUGACACUGAGGCGCGACAGCGUGGGGAGCAAACAGG
rnacentral:rRNA from 1 species